rnacentral:misc_RNA from 1 species
ACUAUAUGCUUGGUGGACUUCUGUAUUGCAUAGAGAAUCGCUUACACUGUUCACCAUGAGAAGUCCUCCAUGCCUGAAGUCUUUGUUAGCCAUCAGCAAUGAUUCGAUCAAAAUUGCCAAUCCUGGCCAACCUUCUGUUCUGCUACAAAGAUUCUUCAUUCCUGUUGAAUUUCAUGGAUUUAGUGCGGUUUUGUCCAAAGAUGAACUAG